GUGCUUGCGUGUGUACGUUAAUUUAGCUUCGUUAACUAACGUAAAGUUACAUCUUUUUUAUAGGAAUCAACAGCUUCUUGAGGCUCAACGUUCAGAUAUUUCUCCUUCGGGUAAGUGGGAGUUACAUGUGAAGUUAUAAAUUUAGACUCGAGAGUUAUGAAUUCUGCCAAUGUUGAUAGAAAAUGCCAUUUGCAGAUAAGCUAAUUGCUUUCAGAAGUCAUGCUAGAAAGUUUACGAAGACUAGUUGUAUGUUUAACUAUCUAUAAUUUAUUAAACGUGUUGUCUUAAGUUCAUAGGAUAUUGGGGCACCUAAAAGUGCGUUUGUUAAACAGGGUAGAACGAUAUUGCCGUCAUCAUGACAAGUGUGAAAGGCAGUAUGUACAGUUAGAAGCCUUUCAAGCCUUAAAAGAACGAUUGAAUACACAACAACUUCAGUUUCAGAAGACGCAUGUUGUUGAUACAAAAAUGAUAAUUAAGGUGCAGUAUGAAAAUCGCAAGAAAUACAUCAAAUUACAGGCUGCUGAUUUUGAUGAAUUCAUUUCUCAAGGUAAAAUUCCCAAUAAC